CAAAUGGAAAGGCGUAAUUCAGAUGGAAAGUUAAUUGCAGAUCCCAGAAGACGUUUCCAAUGGCUGUGAGUUCUCAGGGCUAAAUGGAACCUCCUUAUCCAGAGGCAGUCUAUCCCUAAAGAUUAGAGAGCCCCAUUGCUUUCAUCCCAUCCCCAGGAGCUUCCUGGAGACUCCUCAUUGAUCCCAGGUGGCAAAGGGAGGAUGGGUCUUGGCGUCACCCAUUAAGACCUCAUCCGAACCCUUCUCCCAUCUGCUCCACAGAGGGUGGCCCGAAAAAUCCUUGGAAGCCAGUUUUUGAACCCGAGAUUAUGGAUAGCGGUUUAUAGCACCUGUGAGCCUUCAUCACACUUGCUGGUGGUGAUGAAUCUUUUGAUCCACCAAGAUUAACACACAGGUUUGGAAAGGCUGACUAGGUAGACCUGUAUUUCUUCAUUUCCAGUCAUCGAACCGUGAAAGUUGGGUUAAAGUGCAGAAUUCCACAUUCUGAAGUUUCCAGGAUUCUCCUUUCUUCUGUUCACAUCUCAGGCCCUUUCCAGGCGAAUCUCUCCAACUCAGCCCAACUGUUACUCAUGUUGUGACUCUCAAACAUGAAACGAAAAUAGUUUGGCCUGCUUCCUCUAUACCACUGUUAAGGUUCUGAAUAGCGUUCACGAGACUUUGUCCAGACAGUGGGCAGAUUUCAGCCAAGCUGACCAGUCCAUGAACUCUCUUACCCUCCUUCUACUCGCCAUGCCCCUUGAGAAGAUGCGUGUGGGCAGUUAGCCCUUGGCAAAGAAAGUUCUGUGACACUGUUGGAGAAACUUUCUGAGCAAGGUAAGAAAAUAUACUUGCACAGCUGGCCCUCGGCAAAAAAACUUUUUUGAAAAUAUCUGCCAAAUGAGCCAGAAGAUGCCCCUGCCUCUGUGUGCCAGCUGCGUGCCAACCGUAAACACCACUCAAUUGCUCUGCAAUCACGUGGAAUAAGGGAGCAGAGUCCACAACCUUUGGAAUCGAGAUUUUCAAGAUGAUCUUUGAAAGCAGUGGACGUGAAAAGGGAAAAGUAAGGUUGAUUUACUUCGUUUUUAUGCUGGCAUCGUGAAUUAACUCCACAGAAGCGACCCAAACACUUCCAGAUGUGGGGGAGACCCACCCAGAGCCAUGGCGUAGAUCAUCUCAGUGCUCAGCGGCACGAGGAUUCCAUUGGUCUUGGUGAUGAAGAAGUCCAGCACGGCCAUGAGCGAGGAGCAGUAAUUCUGGCGAGGAAAGAAAUGUAUGCCACAUAUGCAAACAGGCACGCACAGGUGCAAGCCAAGGGGAGGACAUAAACGCACACCCGGACACAACCCGUUCCUUCAUUACGCAGAAGAAAAGACAUUUCCUUUGACUUCUGCAAGCUUUCCUGACCUUGCUGGUAUUGCUGGCUAUAGGAAUGUGAUGAGUAAAUAAAGAAAUAAAUAUU